rnacentral:lncRNA from 1 species
CGGGCUCCGGUGGCGGCAAGAAGGGCAGCGACACCGACAGCGAGCACAGCGCGGCGGGAAGCCCGCCUUGCCACUCCCCUGAGCUUCUGCAGCCUCCAGAGCCCGGCCACCGCAAUGGCCUGGAGUGACUGUCGCAAUGCCUCCCACCUGAGUCCCGUCGGGCUUGUGUGCCUGGACUGGGCUCUAGUCUAGGCUAGCUGUCUCACUCUCUUUCCCCCAACUUCCCAUUUUCCCCCUCACCGGGUUUCCGCUCUUAAAUUUUAUUAAAAGGAUGUGGACAGUAAGUAGCACACAUCGGUGGCUGGAUCCUUGGCUCCCUUCUGCACGGUGACAGCCAUGCGGGGCGCAGUGGGAACCGGCUCCUCCAGCUCUGGGCUGGCGGAACUUUGAGGAGGCUGCAGCCUCUGGAGUAAGGACAGGAUUAAUGGGGUUGUCUGGUAGACCACCGGCUUUUGCGGCCUUGGAAAGAACUGUGCUCAAUCGGCUUGAGCCGCAGCUGUUAGGGAGAGGGAUGCGGGAGUCCAGAUAAGGAAUCCCCUCCUGGACGCCCCUUGGACGACUGUCCCGUGAUGAGCACUACACUGGUGGGAGGACUACUGCACCAGACCCGGUUAGCAGAGUUUAGAUCUACCCAUUCAGCUCUCUGCCUAGGUCUUUGUGCCCUGCGGGUGAACCGAUGAGAGUUCUGCGAACCGGAAUCAAUGCGGCCACCCUGGUCUUUGUAACUUUUUAUUUUUUAACUGAAAAACUGAGAGGAAAAAAAUAAACAAGCAAUCUUCCUCUUAGCUUCCCGUUUAGAUAGUUUCCCUCUGCUUGCGAGCACGUCUUUCUCUCCAAACUGCUAAUAUUGAUCCCAAAGUUAUUUUGAUCACCAUAACUUAUGGGGUGGGGGCGGGAGUGAGGGUAGGUGUCUUUUCUUAUGCAAAAAUACCCCCUUUCCGGUGAGACCAGAUUAACCAUCUUCGCGUUUGUCCUUUUCUACCUCGUUUUUUUCACCAUUCCCAAGCAUAUUCCCCCAACCUCCCACACCACCGCCACUUUUGGGUUAGUCCAGGAGUCAAUUUAACCUACUGAUUUCUGUAAAUUAUUUGCAAGUCAUCGAAUAUUUUAAGGAUUAAACUUUUUUCUUUGUGAUUUAAACUCAAGUGAAGAAGCUAUUGUUUAUUUCAGUUGAGGCUGUAGUUUAAAUGCCAAAAGAGGGAAAUGGGGGAACAUUUUUUUUUAAUUCUUUGUAAAAUAUAUCUGAACCUAAUGGUUUGUACCACUGGAAAAUCGUUCUAGAUUAGUUUCCCAUUAAACGUGACUCCGCCUGUGUGAGGUGUGAGGUACAUUGUCCAGGAGACGAUUUUGUAUAGUA